rnacentral:rRNA from 1 species
AUUGAACGCUGGCGGCAUGCCUUACACAUGCAAGUCGAACGGCAGCACGGGUGCUUGCUCCUGGUGGCGAGUGGCGAACGGGUGAGUAAUACAUCGGAACGUACCUUAUCGUGGGGGAUAACGCAGCGAAAGCUGUGCUAAUACCGCAUACGCCUUGAGGGGGAAAGCGGGGGAUCGAAAGACCUCGCGCGAUUAGAGCGGCCGAUGCCUGAUUAGCUUGUUGGUGGGGUAAAAGCCCACCAAGGCGACGAUCAGUAGCUGGUCUGAGAGGACGAUCAGCCACACUGGGACUGAGACACGGCCCAGACUCCUACGGGAGGCAGCAGUGGGGAAUUUUGAACAAUGGGGGCAACCCUGAUCCAGCAAUGCCGCGUGAGUGAAGAAGGCCUUCGGGUUGUAAAGCUCUUUUGUCAGGGAAGAAACACCGGCUCUAACACAGUCCGGGAAUGACGGUACCUGAAGAAUAAGCACCGGCUAACUACGUGCCAGCCGCCGCAGUAA